rnacentral:rRNA from 1 species
UACGAAGGGGGCUAGCGUUGUUCGGAAUUACUGGGCGUAAAGAGCUCGUAGGUGGCGUGUCGCGUCUGCCGUGAAAGCCCAUGGCUUAACUGUGGGUCUGCGGUGGAUACGGGCAGGCUGGAGGCUGGUAGGGGCAAGCGGAAUUCCUGGUGUAGCGGUGAAAUGCGCAGAUAUCAGGAGGAACACCGGUGGCGAAGGCGGCUCUCUGGGACGGUACUGAUGCUGAGGCGCGAAAGCUAGGGGAGCAAACGGG